UGCUCCUUGAACUGGACAACCAUCAAAAUUCUAAUCAGUCUUAGUCAGACAACAAAUAAGGGUGAACAAUUAUUUUAUGCCACUUAUUGUGAAAAAAUGUGAUUUAGUUUCUUCAGAAUAAGCAGUCCUUACUUUUAUUGUUUUUCCUACUUGUAGACCAGUGAUGUUGUUGCCUUGACGACUGCUAUCCUGCGAUGUCUCUGUUUUCCUCGAGGACGAUGAAAGAGUUCUACAAUGUCUCUGGAUUCAGAUGCCAUGGCAGGCCUCAUCCAGGUUCCUGUGGGGUUAUUGAGUGUUAUGUUAUGCUAAGUAUAUAAUUUUGUUGAAAUAAAAUGUUGAAUUUUGUGAACUUA